rnacentral:miRNA from 1 species
UUCGUUGUUUGCGAAAUUCAUGC